AUAUGUAUAAAUAUAACACAUUUAUAUGAAUAUUAUUUAUAUUUAUAUAUAUAUAUAUAUAUGUGUUUUUUUUUCUUUUUCUUUUUUUUAAUACCGGAAAUCGAUCAUAUUUAACAAUACUUAAAUAAACCAUUUCCGAUAUUAAUAUAAGUUACGUGUCAGUUUAGACACGAGGGUUAGAUACGAAUAGAAAUUAUUAUUUUCAUUUUUCGUUCUCACAUUAGUUACGCAUUAGUAAUUGCAUUAAUAUUGUAUUGUACAAUCUGGAAGCAUCUCUUUCUUUUAUAAAGAAAGGAAAGAGUGUGUGUGUGUGUGUGUGUGUGUGUGUCGCGUAUCAUAUAAAUACGCGACAAAAUAUCGUGUUCCAAACGGCGAGAGUUUUCUUGGCCCGUUUUUUUCAUUUUUAUUUACUUAUUUAUUUUUCCUUUUUGGCACUCUCCAUUCCACCCGACUUUUUUCUUUUAUUUAUGAAGAAAGCAAACAUAAAAAAAAAGGAAAGAAAAGAAAAAAAAAACAACGAAAAACAGAAAAAGAACAAAAGAGAAUUUUCGCAGACAAUUUUUCUUCUGAUUUUUUUUCCUUUUUUUUUUCUCUCUCUCUCUCUCUCUCUCUCUCUUUUUUUUUUUGAUUCCAUCGUCCGUUUGAAACACGUAUACCCAUCGCGCGGCAGCACUCAUCUAAUUCGAUCGCAUCGAUCGGAUCAUUUUUAUCAAUACUUUUUAUUAUUAUAGUAUUGUUAUAUUAGUGUUUUAUAAUGUUUCCAUAUAUAUAUAUAUGGAAGCUAGUUACAAAUCGUCGAGAGAUUGCAAUUUUCAUUUUCUUCCUUUUUUUUUCCGUCACGCCAUCGGAAUUGGACGGACAUAAAGUUCAACUCGGUUUAUUUAUUUAUAUUACAUACGUAUUACUAAUUUUUUUUUACUAUGUCGUUCGUUCGAUCGUGUUUCUCUUCCUUUUGUUUUCUUUUUUAUUUUCUUCCUUUUUUUCUUUUUUUUUUCUUUUUUCUUUUUUUUUAUCAGUCGUCCUUUCAUUCGCACGAAUGUACAUCAGACGACGAGAAAGAAUACAACGAUUCGAUCCAGCUUAGUUUCCUCUUGCAUAUGAUAAUAAAAGAAUCCACCACCUCCACCUCCUCCUCCUCCUCCUCCUCCUCCUCCUCCUCCUCCUCCUCCUCCUCCUCCUCCUCCUCCUCCUCCUCCUCCUGCUCCUCCUCUCCCCUCCUGCUUCCACCAGCCGAAAAAAAGAGAGAAAAGAAGGAGAAUUCGGUUUAGUAUUAUUUUCUUAUUUUCUGAUUAUUUUUUCUUUCUCUUUUUUCGUUUCUUCUUUUAUUAUUAUUUGUUGUGUUUCGUGAUUGUUGUUAUUAUUGCUGUUGUAUUGUCGUUCUUCUUUCUUCUUUUUCCUCUUCUUGAAACUUUUCGCGACUGGAGAGAACGUGAUUAGGUAUGUAUAAGCGUCUAUUUUUCCUUUUUUUCAUUGUUUUUCGGUUCUUCUUUUUUUUGCUUUUUUCUUUUUCAAGAAGGAGGAGGGGAAACCGGAGGAUUCUUUUUUUCGGUAUUUUUUUUUUCUUUUUUCUUUUUUCUCUUUUUUUUUUUCUCUCUUCAUUUUUCCGAAAGGCACUGAUUAUCUAUCAUCGAGAACGAGACCGAUUAAUCUCGCUUAAUCUAUUUACAUUGACUGAUUAGCUAAAACUAAGAAGGAAUUUGUAAUUAGUCCAUGAUUAAAUCGAAUAUGUUAAAAGAAUUGAUUUCGCAUGAGCACGUCUAAUACAUACAUAGAUAUAACUUCGAUAUUCUAAUUGUUUCGAUGAUGUAAUUGGCUUUUAUGAGCCGUUAUUAGAUUUCCCGUGAUUAUGUAGAUUUGGCCUCAAGGUAACAGCACCUUCUACCCAAAAGUUAGGCCUCUCGAGCAUACUUUGCCAAAGAGACAAUUCACGUCCGGUAGCGUCCAUCCAAUCUACCGCCUUCCCGUAAUGCUUUCCUACGUAAUUGAAAAUAUUAUUAAUCGAAUUAUUUAUUUGUUUAUUUAUUUAUUCAUUUAUUUUGUUAUUUUGUUAUUAUUAUUUUUUUUUUCUACAUACAAACUCGUCGAAUAAAUAUUGAUAAUAUGUAUACGUACCUGUGCCAAGGUUGAAACGUACGCCUCCUAAAAAUUCAUUGCUGGCGAUACGAUCAUGAUCCCACACAGUUAAUUCGAGUCCACGCUCGGCUAACUCUUGCAAACUUACAUCCUUAUAGACAAAUGUAUGACCCCAAACUGGUGAACCACCUGAACGACGAACUACACCAGUUUUUUGUUUACCCGAUCGACCUUUGUCUGGUAGCAGGUAACUAAGAAGACGAAUCAAAAUAUUUAUAUGAUAUAUAUGUGUGUGUGUGUGUGUGUAUAUUUUUGUUUUGUUUUAUUUUUUUUUUUUGUCAUUUCAAAGGUGACCUUUAGUAAUAUCAACAAAGUCGCUGAUUUAUUAGAAUACGAAUUGAAAUGAAGGAAAGAGAGAGAUAAAAUAAAAAAAAAAAAAAAAAAAAAGAAAUAAAAAUAAAAGAAGAAAUAAAAUGAAAAGAAAACAUGAUAAUAUUACCUUUUGCAAAAUGGAUCACAGGUCCCAGAAUUCUUAGCUCUCGUUUGCAAAUUUCUGGCCUCUUUAACAAGAACGUGCAAAGCACCACGACUCCAAUUUUUUCUCGAUUUCGAAGCACCCUUGUGAUCGGAGCCCAGCUCACGUUCCUGUUGUUGUGCGGGAUCAGGUGGUACGAACUUCAAGCCGACGAUUACUUCACCUUUGUAAGCGAUUGGAUCGUCGAAUGGUUCUGUCUAUACAGAUAAUAUAUUAACCGUUGAUUAACGAGCGAAAGGAAGAAGAAGAAGAGAUAAAGAAAAAAAAAACAGAAGAAUCAGAAGCAGAAGCAUCCAAAAAAGAAUUUUUUUUUUUAGCGUUGCACAAGAGAAGCGCAUAAUAACGGUGCAAUUUUAUCAGUCGUAGUACAGUGGAAAAAUCAUCGUCAUGCUCGAGAUAUGCUCGCAUUAUAAUUGCAUACAACGUGCAAACGUGGUUCUCAAAGAACUAACGCAUUUCGAAAGAUUUUCCUUGAAUAAUAAUGUUCAAGUUCAAACACAACGAUCUACUGAACAAAAUAACAACGAUGGAUUAUUAUUUAUAUAUCGGAUCUAUGGAUCUCGACACGUAAUAGCACUUACUGUCGGUACUUGCGAAUUGCGUUAUAACCAUUGAACGCAGUUAGAUCCAAGAAAAUUGUUAUAAACGCCUAAAACUACAAUUGGUUGGAUCGAAUAUACCGGUCAGUCUUGGAUCAAGUCUACCGCGAUGCAAUGGCUGAUUAAAUCUUGGAUGCCAAGCGAACCAAGGUGCUCCUGGCUCUCCUCUCAACCUCAACGUUCCGGGCUCCGAAUCUCCGGCACGACUUAUCAUCGAGGACGCUGCCGCUGCAAAAUCACCGGUCCAGAGAGCUGCCGGAACUGGCACCGGAUAUGGUACUGGGACUGGUAUAGGGACGGGUACCGGAAGUACGUUUGCGCUUCCAGAACCCCCGCAAGCCUAAAUCCGAGGAACCACGUCCAGGACAACAACUCCAAUCCUGGGAAAUAUUAGGAUCCGUGGUUAUGUUACUAUUACCAAUGGCGACUGGUAUACCGUGAGGAAGCGGUAAUGUACCGCUCUCGAAAUAAUCCCAAUCGCAAUCCUCGAGGGACUGAGCGUGACUACCACCGCGUGGUAAACCGUUCAAGUAAGAGGAACUGGAACAACUGCUGUCAGCGUCGUCCUCCUCACGACCAGACGAAGAAUCCGAACUUAUAAAGACUAAUCUUCUGUAAUCGACUAUCGGUUGAUCCUGUCCAUUAUUAUUAUUGUUAUUAUUAUUGUUAUUGUUAUUAUUAUUAUUAUUGUUGUUGUUAUUGUUGCUGGUGGUGUUGGCGUUGCUACCGGUUGGACUCUCUUGUCUUUCGGCACGUCCAAUCACGUGAAGUGUCUGAAGACUCUGAAGAUCCUCUCCGCAGCAAGUUCUAGCGUGCGAUCGGCCCCUUCUUCUCGAACCUUUCAAAAAAAAUAAAUAAACGAUGAAAAUAAAAGAGAAGGAAAAAAAAAGAAGAAGAAAGAAAGAAAGAGAGAGAGAGAGAGAGAGAGAGAGAAAAAAAUAGGAAAAUAGUUAGAACGACUAUUAGAAGGAAACCUUACAAAUAAACGACACACAUCGUUCGCGAUCUUUAUCGUUAUAAACCUGACUUGCGAUAAGCACAGCUAUCUUCGCUAUCUGUUUAAUUAUACUUUAUCGUUCCCCUCCUCUUUCGCUCUCUCUUUUUUUUCUCCUCAAUGUUUUUAUACGAUCGUUACGUUAUUACAACGUCGAGAUGAUUCGCAUAACGUAUGCUUAAUCAUUAAUGACAUAUUUAUCGUUCUAAUAUCUAACUAUGUUUUUUAUAUUAUCCUACGUAUUAUAUUUAUUCGAAGAUGCUUUCACUCAAGAUAAAAGUUUUAUCUCUUGUCUCUCUCUCUCUCUCCCUCUCUCUCUCUCUGUUCCAGCACGAUACGAAAAUUUCACUCACGAUCACUAGUCGUGCAUAACGACAGAACUUCAAGAACCCCUUUAUUAUUCCAAGUUCAUGGAUCUUAAGAUUACGACGUAAGCGUUAUCUAUUAUUUGCUACUUUAUAGAUAAACAUAUAAGGAUCAAUGAUUCUUAUGAUUCAAAUCGUUUUAGAAAAAAAAAAAGGAAAGAAAAAGAAAGGAAAUAAAUAAAUAAAUAAAUAAAUAAAAAUAAAAUAAUAUAAGUUGGAAUAUAGAUAAAUUUUUGUCGUUCGAAUUAAAUAACGUCAAUAUCGAAAUAAUAAUUACGAUUGAUUUUUGAUAAUGUUAAAAAGAAAAGAGUUGAACCGUUCGAACUAUUAACAAACCGUUUUGUGUGCUCGCUUUUUACGCGCUGUUGAAUUAGCUGGUCAAUGGCACGGGCCAUCGUAUGUAUGUAUGUACGUGCGUGCGUACGUACGUACGUAUGUAUGUAUGUAUAUAUGUAUGUAUGUAUGUAUAUAUGUCCACGGCUACUGAUCCUCCGCCAUUCUGAAAACGCCGUUUUGCGCGACAUUCCAUGAAUGGAACAAAUUCCAGUUUGGGUCUGUUCGGACAGAAAGAAAAAAGGGACAACAAGCAGGCAAUGGGCAGACCAGAUAAAAGAGAGACUUUGAAGGGGAAAGAAAAAAAAAGAGUAAAAGAAACGUUUCAAAAGAAAAGAAGUAAAAAAAGGAAGAUAAAAGAAAAGAAAAUAUAUAUAUUCGAAAAGAUUUCGAAAUAAAAAUAAAAAUCAAAGUUUCUUUUUUUUUUUUUUGGCGAUACAUUCUUUUUUACUUUUCUUUUUUUUUUUUUUUUCUUUUAACAAAAUAAUUUUUACUAUUCGUUUUCAUUAUAGGCCAAUCCUAUUAAUUAAAUCAAUAUUAUUGAACAUUGGGUCAAUAUUUAUAAUGAAAUAUAAACGAUGUAUUCCCAAUGAAAUCUCAUACACUUUGUUGAUUUAUACUGAAUCAAAAUAUUCGUAUACAUAUAUAUAUGCUCA